GAGACGCACGGUCCUGUGUAAUCCUCACCAUGUAAGGUUCAGACAUUAGCAGGUCUGUUAGUUUUGUGCAUUAGAUACAAACUCUCGAUGACUGUUCGUCUCUUGAUUUUAGACUUCCAAAGAGAUGCCAUGUCAGGCUGCUGAUGUGGACAAAUGCAGUUCCUUUGCAGUCAUUCCAAAGACUUCCAAAGAGAAGCCAUGUCAGGCUGCUGAUGUGGACA
ensembl:lncRNA